rnacentral:lncRNA from 1 species
UAUAUGGGAUCAUCUCUCUCACAACUGCUGCUACUGUAGUCUCAAUCCAAUCACAUAUGUUUGCCUUACUGGGUCCCGAAACUUUAGAUCUAGAACCAAAACCGCAUGCUCUCGUGAUCAUCACCAUGCUGAGGAAACAAAAGAAAAUAGCUUAAUGCUAACUCGAGUUAUCUAGGGACAACACUCAAAAUUUUCCAAUUUCUUAGUAACAUUGCAACUCUUCCUGAGUCUUGUAUGGAUCAUGUGCUUUUGGAAGUACGGGCCCAUACUACCUUCUGGACCGGACUACUAACUUUCUCCUAGAUUUGUUCCAAGGAUUCCUCAUGUCCAAACUCUUGCACUAUUAGGAAGACAUUCCUAAUACCAAUAAUAACCUUGUGUAUGCAAUUCAUACGUAAUUCGGGAUUAAAUAGUCAUUCGAAUAGUUAAUUCUACCCUAAGCCCACAACCAAACAUGGAAUAGGAAAUAAGCCUGAACUAAGCAUUUUGAGGUUAUGGAAUCCUAAUUAGGUACAACUCUAAGGCGUACACUAAAGUAGUUAUAGGAUAUAUGUACAGGCUUCAAAGUAGCACAAAAAGGCAAUUCCUAAGGCUACAAGGCAUCCUCAUUACCAGGAAAUUCUAACUAAUAAUCUUUGAAAGAUCCUUAUACUUACACUAGCAUGCAUUCCUAACAGAUCACCUAUCAACAAAUCAAGCAAUAUGGAUAUUUUGGUAAUCAUUUUCUUUUCUGAGCUCCGCCUGACUGUACGCAUCACAUCCUUUCUUCUUUAUACAAUUCCUAUUAUAAAAAGUUUUGUUUAAAUUAUGCAGAUCCUUAGUUUGAAUUUGGAAUCACACGAGUGUUCCUCCAAUUCGCUCAAAUCAAGGCUCUGAUACCUACUUGUAACCUCCCUAAUUUUCAACGCAAACUUUUCAUUUUUACUUACUCAAAAUAUGAUUCUUACAUAACAUUAUUUCAUUUUAAUUAUCAAAGAGUGUCAUAGUGGAAGUCUAUAAAACUCUAUUAAUGCCUAGAUGCGGAUACAAGCCAUGCGUGAGCCUUUCCAGGGUCAGAUGAACAACCUGCAAUGCAAUUAUUCAACAACCAUAAGCCGAAGCUUAGUGAACUCCCUCAAAAUAUUCUACACCACAACACAUAUAUAGUGCAUACACAUAAUGGCCUUCAGCUUAUAGCUAGUUUGCCCUCAACUCCACACACACACACACAUACACACACACACACACACACACACAUAUAUAUAUAUAUAUAUAUAUAUAUNNNNNNNNNNNNNNNNNNNNNNGCUAUGCAUCAAUCGGAUUUCACUAUGAUGGUGCGGAAUCCCAAAUCAAGUGAAUGAUGCAAGAUAUAAUAUGGAAUAAGAACAUGAUGAUUAACUCUCAAUGCACACUAUAUUCAAGAUAGUCUGGUACAUAAGAUUCUUGAUUACACACGGUUCUCUCUUGUUUCUCUCUAGAUCUCGUUCUUGGCUUGUUGGCCACCACAAAAACGUAUCCCUCACUUUACAAGGGUAAAAUAACACUAUUUAUACCUAGACCUAAUAACAAAGGCCCAACCCAAAAACUAAACAAGCCAACAUUAAGCCUAACCGAAAUCAUAUCUUAUUUCGGUCCAAACAACACCAAAACAUGGUGUUUUCGGUCCUAGACCGAGAACUCUAAUAGCUUAUUAAAAGGAAAGUAUAAACCACAAUUUAUGACCUAACAAACUCCCCCUUGGUUUAUAACAUUCUUGUCUCUUCAAUCUUCUCUUCGUUUUUUACUUUAAAUUUUAUCCUCAAUUUCUUCACAAAUUCAAGAUGAACAUAUGAAUUUCUACAUUAAUGACUUUAUCUUGGACAGUUGGGCUUCCUUCAAAGAUUUGAGCUUAAACGCACAUUAGGUGUAGAGGCUUCUUGUAAAGGUUCUUGAAAAACAGCACUUUCACCUUUGAAACACUUCAGAGAUAAUAACAGGGAGACCGAUUCUUCAGGAUAACUUCGGCAGGUUCAUAGAUAGCAACAAAUUGAUUGAGGAGGCUUCAAUGCAAUCUAUCACAUAACUUCAAAAAAAACUUCACCAUGCUUCUGGGGUUGAAAGAUUGUAUGUUGACAAAUAAUCUGCACUUCUUGUUCAUUCGAAUAAGUGUUCUUAGUGGAUCACAGAUGCACCUUGAAAGUAACCAUGACUAAAAAGUCCAUGUGGAUCAAAGAAUCAUAGAGACCCUUCUCACUAUAGUUGUUCAAGGACCCAACCUUGGCUUAGAAGGAGACUACUCGCAGUAUCUGUGUGAACACGGAGGAACGCACUGUGAUUUGUUAAGUAUCAGAGAACUACUCAUGGCCUUUUUGAUAUUAGCCUCUGUAUAUCCUAAAUCAAAGAUCUCAAUACAGUUUUUCAAGUUAAACAUGUUAACUCGGCCCUUAGUGAGACGUUCAGAUAUAAUCGUGCCUUGCGAGGUGCAUCGCCCUGGUACCGUGACAUCUAUACAGUUUCAGACUUUUAAUUCCUUCAAUACAACAAUUCUUAGAAAGAUACUGCCUAACUGACAGUUUGUGCAGUUUCAAUCCUUCAAUUCCUUGUGAAAAUAGAGUGAAGUGUAAUGACCAUCAACUCCAUUCCAAGUUUCUUCUCCUUGAUCAGAAAAUUCCAAUACAGUCUCCUUGAGUCUCUUCCUCUUUUUUGAAUUCGCUUUUUAAGACAAAUGAAACAUUGACAUAAAAAAUAAAAGUAAAAAUAAACUUAGCACACAAUAGAAAUAACUAAGAACAAAAUAAAAUUAAAAAUACACUCAAAAUAAAAUAUUUUUGAAUUUUUGAUUUUUUCAAAAGAAAUGAAAAUAGAAGUAAACAUAUUUUUCGAUUUUUUUGUUAAAUUUUAUGAUUUUUUUUGAUUUUGUUUAAUUCUCCCCCUAAAUGUUUGCAUAGAGGAAAAAUAUGAACAAAUUUAACAAAAAAAACCAAAAUAAUUACUAAAUUUAAAACUUUUUGGGAUCAAAGUUGUCAAGCAAUUCAAUAUCGUUUAUCAACACAUACUUGCAUGUUUAUCUCUGAUCAAUCACCAAUAUUGUGGUCCACUUAAACACAAAGGAUAUUGACAAGUUGAAUAGGUUCUAAAUGAUAAUACGUUGUGAUUAUAUCCUAAAAAAUAUUCCUAAAUAGACCAUUUUGCUGACGAUGACCAAGGAUAUUGUUGUCCACUUAAAUUUAGUUGUGAGAUCUACAAACAACCUUUAGUCAUGAACCAAUUCAAUUUUAAGCUCAAUAGAACGUGUUCCAUAGUUCACGACAUACAUUAGUUAUCAAGGAAUUCCAAAGAGUUCUUUACUUUAGGUGAGUGCUCAAUUAUUUGAGAGAGAAGAUGGAUAUAGAGAUGCAUAUGCUGUGCAUCAGGUCGGAUCUCUUCCAAUCAUGUAGAGGGACAACAUAUGACUAACACCGAUAGAUAGAUAAAGAGAUAGAAAUGUGCAUAUGUUGUGUCCCAGGUCGGAUCUUCCGAUCACACAGAGGGGACAACAUAUGACUGACAUAGAUAGAUAGAGAUAAGCUUAGAAAUAUAGUGCAUAUGUUGCGUCCUAGGUCGUAUCUUCCGAUCACGCAAAAGGGGAAACAUAUGACUGAUAGAGAGGAUAAGAAAGAUAAACAACUUCACACAGACCUACUUUAUCAAAACCCCCCAGUCACUCUAUCAGCACCAAAAUUAAGGACAUAAGUCCGUACGUUGAAGAAAUGUUGAGCCACAGUUUUAGAUGAUAAGUAACUUUAAUGUAUCUCGUAGGCUCCCCUGUUUAUCUCACUGCUCAAUCUGUCCGAUCAUCGUAUGAUCAAUCCAAAUGUAACUAUCUAACUCCAGAUGUGUUAACACUAUCAAGUCCUUUAAUCUGUCAACAAUGUCUAGUCCUUUCAUUUUGAGUCCUUUGUGCCUACUAGCACACUAAACACAGGGCUAAACAAAUUAGUUUCAGUGCAUUACACGAAUUCCAGAUUCCCUUUAACACUAACUUCAUAUCACUUCCCAAAAAAAAUACUUACGAAAGAAAACAUAUUUUUGUAUUUUUGAUUUUAUAUUUUUUUUUGUAUUUUAUUUUCUCCCCCUUAAUUUGUGCAUGGGAAGAAAAGAAAUAAAAUAAAUUGGCAAAUCUUUAAAACAAAUCAUUUUAAGAAAAACUUAGAAGGAUCAAGAAGAAUAACUCAAACCGUAAUUCAACAAUUGAAGUUACAUCCAGAUGAUCUGAGAUUAGCACACAGAUGCAACAACAUGUUCAACCUCAGCUGUGUUUUAAUUCUGGAACGAAGUUAAGAUAUUCAAUAUUCAUCAUGAAUUUAUAUGAGGUCCCCAUUUGUGAUCCUUUCCUUAUUCCUUCCUGCAAAGGACACAUGCUCUCAAUGAAGAUUCUGAAUGUCGUAUAGAUGAGAGAUGUCUCCUAUCAUGUGCCUGGAACAACUACUAUCAACAAACCGAAGCCUGAUGAAUUUCCUCCAUAGCUGCUCUAGAACAAAGUGCGCGGUUAUUUGGUCUUUGGAACCCAGUCCAUUUUGAAACUAGGUUGACCUUUAUCAUUUACACAAGGUACUCUCUCCCAUAACAUAACCUGUUUAUCACACAUAGAAGAUGAAUAAAUGUUAGAAUCAUUAGAUGAUUUAGGAGUGUGAACUUUUGGUACCAAUCUGUAGUGUGCUUUAACCCAUUUCUUGUUUGAAUGGAUGGAUGCCUCAGCACUCGUUUUAGAACUUGAAACCGACCGCCGAGAUGACUUCGGCUUAAAUGAUCUUGAUCUAACAUAACCAUCUUUUAAAUUUGGCUUCUUGUCGGACAUUCCGUUCUUGUCCUUGGGAGAUUGAUUCUUUCCCUUCUUAGCAUUCCAGUCACCAUUGUGUGAACAUGACCUCGAAGAGUUUCUUUUGGAUGAGCUCCUUCUAGGCACGUGCUGCCAACCUUGUGCAUAGUACAGGAACAUAGGCAUGAUUUGGACAAUUUCUGGCAAUGUGUCAAGGUGUUCCACAAGCACAGUUAUAGCACAGUUACAACAAGCAGUCUAUUUCGCAUGCCCAUGCCUUGUCUCUGAUUGUUCCCACAAGCACAGUUACAGCAAGCUGUCUAUUUCGCUUGUUUUGGUGGCAUGUAUUUACCAACAACAAGUUUAUUAGAUAUAAUAGAUUUAGAGUUUAAAGAUACAUUGGUUUAACAAUCAACAAAAUUAACAGAACUAGAAUUAUUGUUAUUCUCCUUGUUCUCAUCUACUUUACAUGCACAUGAAGUAGAAACAUUAGUAUCGUUCACCUUAAUAUUCUCAGUUGGGCCAGAUUGUUCAGUCUUAAUUGAAGCUGGCACAGGAGGGUGGCCAUACUGAGCAGGUAUCUCUACCUUUUUGGUUUCAAGGGGCGGGGUUUAGUUAUCAUUGAAGGGAGGUGGAACACUGUGAUACCCUAGACCCUUAUUCUAAUUAUCUUUAAUUUUAAUUGUUUUUCUAUCAUCGUCUCAAUUUUCUUACCUGACACAUCAAAAUUUUUAAAAUUAAAGUAUGUAUUUUCAAACAUAUUUUUCUAUGUGUCAAGCUCGACAGUUAGACUGACAAUCUUUACUUGAGCAUAACCAUAGUGUUCAUAUUUAAUACUAUAUUCUUCCUUAAUCCUCUUUAGGUCUUUGGUUUGGGCCUCUAAUUUUUCUUUUAAAUAUUUUUGGGCUUUUCUGAGAGUGUAUCCUUCAUAUUUACGGUCCUGAAUUUCCCUAAUUAAUAAAUCAUGUUGAUCACGAUAAUGUUUAAUUUUAGCUUCAUAGGACUGAGAGCAUGAAGUUACAUUAACCUUGGUGAUUGAAGAACUCAUUAUUCACCAAAAAGGAUAAUUUACCAAAAAAUAGAACUAAUUGUGAAGCCGAGAAAAUGCCCUUUGACUUGAAACCUUGAAAGUCAAACUUAAAGGUCAAACUCAAAAGUCAAACUUGAAAACUUGAAAGUCAAAAGUCAAAUUUGAAAGUCAAAAGUCAAACUUAAAACUCAAAAGUCAAAUCUAAAAGUCAAACCUUUUGUCUAAAAAAAGUAACCUUGACCGAGAAGCAAGGUUUUUAGACCGAAAAUGAGGGUUUUGGAACAAAAACGUGACUUUUGAAUUGAAAAGUGAGUUUCGGACCGAAAAUGCGAAGCCUCUUAACCCAACUGAGAAGGCUCGCACCAAAAAUACUCUUAGACCGAAUACGCGAGACCAAAAUCGCUGAACCAAAAUCGUAGGCCGAAAACAGUGACCGAAAUCCGAGGCCGAGAAGUCCGAACCGAGAACCUUUGCAGCUUCAGACCGACAAUGAGGUUGCGGACCGAGAGCCCUCACCUUAACCGAGAACGCUGCUAUGCCUCUAAGAUCUUCUAGGGUUUGAUCGAGUACGAGGCUGCCCACCGAGAUCUCGCAGAUUUUGACCAAAAACUCCCAAAACUUGCCAAAAACAUGAGAUUUUCAAAUCUUUAAUGAGAAAAUCGAUCAAAGACUCAAAAAUAUGAAGAACACGAAGAACAAUGGCCAAAUUUUUGUCAAAAAAUAUAUUAAAAACACUAAGAAGCUCCAAGAAAAAACUGUUAAAAAUAUUUUGCAAUAACCAGAUUGCUACCAAUCCUCGCUCUAAUACCAAUUGUAAAACCCAAAUCGCUAUGUAUGAAUCGGAUUUCACUAUGAUGGUGAAGAAUCUCAAUCAAAUGAAUGAUGCAAGAUAUAAUAUGGAAUAAGAACACGAUGAUUAACCCUCAAUGCACACUAUAUUCAAGAUAGUCUGGUACAUAAGAUUAUUGAUUACACACAAUUCUCUCUUGUUUCUCUCUAGAUCUCGUUCUUGGCUUGUUAGCCACCACAAAAAUGUCUCCCUCACUUUACAAGGGUAAAAUAACACUAUUUAUACCUAGACUUAAUAACAAAGGCCCAACCCAAAAGCCAAACAAGCCNAGCCGACAUUAAGCCUAACCAAAAUCACAUGUGAUUUCGGUCCAACCAACACCAAAACAUGGUGUUUUCUGUCUUAAAUCAAGAACUCUAAUAGCUUAUGAAAAGCAAAGUAUAAACCACAAUUUAUGACCUAUCAAUAUCNUAUAUAUAUAUAUAUAUAUAUAUAUAUAUCAACAUACAUAUUUCAAUAAUCCAUAUAAUAGGCAACUAACUAUCCUAUUCUAAUUGCCUAAGGGUAUACCACAUGCUAACUAUAUCCUAACGAACAAUGGAUACAUACUGGAGUAUACAAUAUAGUGAGAAGAACUCACUUGGACAAUCACUUCGGGGAUUAACUGCUUACCAGACGAUCCCACUAACGACACCGAGCCUAUUAAGUAUUAAUCUAUAGUACUAUAAAUUAUUAGAUUCUAACAGAAUAUGGUAAAGAAUAUAUAACUAAUUCUAAUGAAUACUGAUAGAUCAAUCAGAUAGGAUUAGUCAGGCAUGACAGUUGGGAGGCAUAGCCAUUUCAACAUAUAGUCUUUCUGAAAUCCAACAACCAAGCCAACGUGACCAUUCUAGAUACCUCUCCCGUAAGUAUAUUAACCAAUAUUUUGACUUGGAAUUACUGAUAAAUCUUAUUUAUAGGUCCAUAACAACGACGUAUGACUAUAAAUAUAAGUUAGACUGAAAACGGCAGAGUGUAGCUUAACUUAUAGAGAUUUAAGUGAAAAUCGGACGAUUAAGCGAACACAAUCCCGACCCGUAAAUUCCUUCUGGUCAGCCUCUCAAAUAUUCCAAAGCCCCGUUAAACUAUCCUAAAACUAGGGGAAUGUCGGACCUUAAAGGACUAUACUUUUAAAAUUUUCAAAUAUUAUAUGUAAUUAAUUAAUAUUUCAAACUAGGCGAAUACACAUACAUCACAUAUUGAAAUUCUAUAGUUAUAAUUAUAAAAAUAUGUUGUUGAUAUUGAUUUUUUCCAUGAUUUUUACUAUUAAAAUAUUAAGAGAAAUUAAAUAUCCUUUUAUAUUUUAUUCGUACUUAUCAUCCUACCAUAUCAAAUGUUGACAUAUGUCAUAUUUAAUGACAUAUUUAAUGAAAUUGAUAAUAUUUUGGUCCAUUUUCCGCCAUUUAAUAUGAGUAGGAGGAUAAUAUGACUAAAAUGUAAGACGAUAUUUAAUUUCUCAAAUAAUAAUUAUAACACUAAGUGAUACAUAAAAUUAAAAGAACUUUAAACAACAUUACUUAAUAAGCUUUACCCAUGGUCGACGUAUUAAUCAAAUUAAAUACAGUUUUCUAUUUAAUGUUGCUUUUAACUCCUUUAUUUUUUGGAACUAGCAAAUUUUAUUAAAAGAAACCCUCUAACAAGAAGCUAAAGGGUGCCAAGGUACAAUUUAUGUUUUUUUCAAGAAAAUUAUAGAAAAUAGAAAGCAGAUUAAAGCCAUCCCCCCAUAUGAAUUUUCCUUUUCCAUAACGAUACUUAAUCCAAACAUGAACCAUUGAUCAGACCUUUUCAAAUACCAAUUCCGCAGUAGUGAAUUUUGUGUUAAAGACUUUAUCAUUCCUUUCCCUCCAUAUAUCCCAUAGUACUCCUGAAAUGACUGAAUGCAAUGUUUCCCUCCGUUUUGGACAUUGCCCUGAUGAGGUUGCGAGGGUUAACAUCCCCUUUAUAUUAGAACAUUGGUAAGGCGCAAUACCGCACCAUUCCAAAAUCUGGUUCCAAAUUUGAACAGCGAAAGGGAAUUCCCAUAGCAUGUGAUUCGAUGAUUCCUUUCCAGAUAUGCAGGCACUUCAUAGUGAAGACUGGACUUGAACUCCCCUUUGGGACAAAGUGACUUUUGUUGGUAUUCGGUCCCAUCUUGCUCUCCAUAUGAAAAAACUUACAUUAGUGGGUACCCAUUUGCUCCAUUGAAAAAACUCCAUCCGGAAUCAUAUGACCUGCCUUGUUGACCCCCCCCCUAAGGAUGCGACACUAAAUUGUCCAUCGAUUACAAAGUCCGAUUCCCAUCCCGAUCCUCCUUGGUCUCUCCGAAUCACAUCUAUACCUGCAAUAUUCAAAUUCUCAAGUGUACUUUUGCAUUUAUCAAUGCUUUUCCACACCCCACAUAAGAACCUGGAUGACAUCCGAUAUGGAGGUUGCAUGCUAAUAUUAUGAAUUCAGCUUAUUACCCCUUGCCCAUAAUGUGCUUCUCUCCUAAAAGAACUUCCAUCUCCAUUUUGAUAUUAGCGCUAGAUUCAAUGCCUUAAUGGACCCCAGACCUAGUCCACCCACUUCUUUUGGUGGAAGUAUUUUUCCCCAUGAAACCCAACAGAUUUUUGACGUGUUAUUUGUUCCCCCCCAUAUAAAAUUCCUUCUUAUUCUCUCCAUGGUUUCAAUAACACCCAAGGGGGCUGCAAACAUUGAUAAGUAAAAAGUGGGAAGACUCCCCAAAACCGGCUUUGCUAAUGUCACCCUCCCCCUGGAACUCGAGGUCCUUGAUUUCCAUCUAGAGAGCUUGUUGUUUAUUUUCUCAAUCACCGACUGUCAAGAGCUUUUCCGGUUCAUGUUAGCUCCAACAGGAACCCCGAGAUACGUGAAUGGGAUUGAGCUCGACUCACAUCCGAAAGGUGAUACCCAUCUUUCAACCUCAUGAGGAUCUACAUUGAUACCAUAAACUUUAGACUUGUUGAAAUUGACACUCAACCCGGAGGAUACUUGAAAACACUUAAGUAUCCUUGCCAAGUUUUUUAUUUUUGUCUUGACCAUUCACCUAGGAAAAGGGCAUCAUCGGCAUAGAAUAGGUAAGAAAUCUGACUAUUAGAUCUAUGAAUAAAAAUACCCUGGAAGACUCCUUUUGAGACCACUUCCUUCAUCGCUAUAUUUAGCCCCUACAUAACCAAAAUAAAGAGAAAUGAUGAUAGAGGAUCUGACUACCUUACUCCUCUCUCCAGUUGGAAUUUUUCCGUUUGACAUCCAUUCACCAAAAUUGUUGCCCUAGCUGACUCCAAGCAUCCCUUCAUCCAAAUUCUCCAUUUUAUUCCAAAAUUCAUUUGUUGCAUCAUAGAGUCAAGGAAGUUCCAGUUCACUGAGUCAAAGGCCUUGUUGAAAUCUUCUUUAAAGAGUAAAACUUUUUUGUUGGUUUUUUUCCCCACGAGCAAAUCAUAUUUACGAUAAGAGGGCCAUCCAGGAUGUUUCGUCCAUCUACAAAAGUCGUUUGUACUUCAUUAAUACAUUCCCUUAGCACCAAGUGGAUUCUUGUAGCUAGGAGUUUUGCAAUUACUUUAUACAAGGAGCCAAUAAGGAUGAUCGGUCUAUAAUCCCCCAAGGAAAGCGGGUCUUUAACCUUCACUUCUAGUGUUAUAAAAGAGGAAUCGCAUUCAUUUGAGAAUCUUCCCCAUUGUUCGAAAUGCUUUAAGUAUGCUGAGAUAUCCAACUUCAAUUCUCACCAUUAGUUUCUCAGAAAUUUAAAGGUGAAACCAUCCGGUCCCGGGGCCAUCUCAUUUCCACAAUUCCAUGCUGCCCUUUUUAUGUCCACCAUCGCGAUGCCAUCCUCCAAAUAUUCCUUGCUAACGUUCGAUAUGGUCUUGAAUUUAGUACUUCUGAAUUCUAGUCUCCAUUUCCAUCUUUCCUUGAGUUUUGAAGAGAAAAAUCUGAAGACUUCUUCUUUCAUCUUACCCGACUGAUUUGUCCACACUCCAUUUAUCAUAAGACCGUUCAUGUGAUUUUUUCUGUUGCGGUUAUUAACGAAUCCAUGGAAGAAUCUAGUAUUUUCAUCCCCAUCAAUUAACCAUUUUAUUCUCGAUUUCUGUUUGAUGUCCAAGCAUGCAAAAUUUUCCAAUUCCACUAGUUUACUUGACAUCAAAGCCCAUUCUUCCAUUUUAGACUCAUUCAACAUAUUUAACUCAACUUUUUUUAUCCAGUUCAACCAUUUUUUCUUUGACCUUUAUAAUUUCUAACUUCUCCUUUAGGAGUUCCAAUGCCCUCCAUUUUUUGAUUCUAUUUUUUUAUGUAUUUUAGUUUAUUGAGGAAUAUUAAGUCUGGCACACCGUACCCUUUAAAUUUUAUGGCUGCCUUUAGGACGAUCUCAUUGAAACCCGGUCUCAUUAGCCAUGAAUUGAACAAUUUGAAUGGGACGGGUCCGAAGUCAAAGAAGGCAAGUUUUAGCAAGAUAAGGCGGUGAUCAGACUGUUCUCUUGGAAGGUUCGUACAUGAAGCUUGUGGGAAGGUCGUUAAGAAAUUAUGACUGACUAAAAUUCUAUCUAAUUUGCUUAAUUUUGCUCCUGCCUACUGGAAAUAUGUAUACUUGUAUCCCCCUAUAACUUCAACCAAUAUUUCAUUGUCUAUAUUGAUCUCAAAGCCAAGGAGUCGACCAACCUCAACAGUUUUUUCAAUCUUUGUGAUCAUCGAGAUGGUGGUGGUAUCUAUGGGGGGGUUAUAGGUGCGUGUGGUGUUCUGUUAAGAUUCAUAGAGGAAGCUUGAAUUCACUUGGGGCAUAUGGUAUCUGGGAUUAACUGGUCACUGUUAAAUGGGUGGUUCAUCAUGGCUUGCCGGAUCUUCCUUCUUUUUAAGUAAGAUCCGUUAGGGUCCAUUUCCAAGUCCAAUGUUCUAUUGGGCUCAACACUUCCUUCCACCCCCAUGUUUGGGAAAGGCCUAAACCCACCUUUUGGAAGUAGGUCUCCAAUAUUCUCAAACAAGACUUGAUGGGUCCUAGGUUCAUCAACAUUGUCUACGUCGUUGACCUCCAUCUUGUCCUCCAUAUUCCUAGGUGACUUAUUAAUGAUUGGGUUAAUUUGCGACUGUUGGUCUUCCUCGUUCAGGGGCGAUCUGACUUGUUGGUUUUCCAUCUUCCAGUACGAGCCUGUUACUCUUCCCAUCAGUGAUUUACCGGUAUCGUCUUCCGGGGAUCUACUUUCAAACUCUGCUUCAGGGAUUAAUUCAGUGUCGUUUUCCUGUCUAAUUUCACCAUCCUCCAACAUACUAUCAGAGUCAAACGCCGUAUUUGAAAUGGUGUCAUCUUCAUCCUCAUCAUCAAGUUACGAUCCAUCGUCAACUGAACACGAGAAUGGCUUCCAGUCAUCAUCCACCUCAUAUACGCCGAUUUAGAAAAUCUGAUUGUCCGCAACAACUGUGACCUCUUUGUUAAUUUUGCUCAGUGAUGUGGUUAGGACACACACCUUCAUAUGAGAUAUGUCAACCUUAUUCAUAAUUAUUUCAAUCGAGUUGGAUAUUCUCCCAAAUUUCAAGGUGAUAUCCAGGAAAUUUCCUUCAUCCCAAAGACGAGGUGGAAGACCAACAAUUUUUAACCAUGCUAUCCUGUCAUAUUUAUCUUCAACUAUAUUCUUUUUAUCAACCCAUUUGAACCAUGAUCUCCAUAAAUCUAUAUUCUCCACAAAGUUUUUUACAUCCACAGGGUUCCUGAACCUCAUACCAAUUCUUAGACCACCAAAGUAUUUGACUUUGUAUGGCUCCUCAGUCUCUUCCAGGAUUGAAGCCGGUAGGUUUGUGAGCUGGUCGAAGCUUCGUGUUUCACCCAUGACAGUUAAUUCACUUCUUAACCAGUUUUCCAUAAAACGUACCUGUUCAUAAUGGAAUUGGAGGCGAGAUAUGCGAGGGGGAAGUUAAUGGGGGAUUAGUGGUUUCCAUAACAUUUGGUUUCUUUCGGGCUGCCACUUCCACGUAUGAUCUUCCAUCUCUCCAAGUUGUUAUUUCACCUCUUGGGCCAUCCACUGUUUUCCUCAUAUAUGUUGUUCCUUCAUUGCCUCUGUUAUUUCUCUCCUUUCUUUCAAACUUGGCAGUGUUUGUUGUUUAAAAUGGUUGAUUUACUUCCUGGUGAUGAUGAGAUUGACAGAAAAGAAAGAGAGACAAUGGGGAAAAUGAUUAUAUGUUUAUUAAGAGGGGAAAAGAAACUUCAAGUACGCUUUUACAACGUCACAUUUGCCUAUCUAUUUAAAAGAAAAAAUAGCAUAAAAAAUAGGAACUAACAUCUAGUGGCCAAAGUCCAGGAACCACCUUCCAUACUCUUUUGAUUUAUUUUUCUAGAAAAUAAAAAACAUGCUGAAGUAAAUAAAUAAACUCUGAAUUAUUUUCAACGUUUUCCCCCUUAAUUCAGAGUUUCCCAAUCUUCUUGAUUCCAAUCAACUUGCACAUCUCAUCAUGUUUCACUCUAGCUAGAGUUUUUGUGAGUAUGUCUGCCUUUUGUUUCUUUCCAUCCACAUGAGUUACUACAAUUUCACCAUUCUCCACGCAUUCCCUGAUAAAAUGGAACCUUAUAUCUAUGUGUUUACUUCGACCAUGAAAAACUGGGUUCUUCAUGAGUUCUAGAGCAGACUUGUUAUCCACAUGUAUGAUUAUUGGAGGGACGUCUUGACCAGUUAUCUGUGACAGCAAUCUACGCAGCCAAAUUCCUUGGCAUGCUGUCAUUGUAGCUGCCAUGAACUCAGCCUCACACGAAGACAGAGCUACACAUCUCUGUUUUUGUGAAGACCAUGUGACUGGGUUUCCAUUCACAUAAAAUACCAUGCCACCUGUACUUCUUCUAUCGUUCACAUCCUUGCCAUGGUCGCUAUCAGAGUACCCUUCAACUGUGAUCUGCUUAUCACCUUUUGUGUAGAUUAUACCAUGACCCAGUGUUCGUUUGAUGUACCUCAGAAUUCCUUUUACAGCUUGAAGAUGUGUUGUGGUUGGUUUCUCCAUAAACAUGCUUACUAACCCAGCUGCAAAUGAUAAGUCUGGUCGGGUAUGUGUCAAAUACCUAAGACCUCCUACUAAGCUUCUGUAUUCCGUUGGGUUCACAAGCUCUCCAUCUCCCUCUUUUGUUAAUUUUAGCUUGUGUUCCAUAGGGGAUUUUGUGGCAUUACAUUCAAGCAUACAUGUUUUUGACAGCAGGUUCCUUGCAUAUGAUUCUUGUUUUAAGGAGAUAGAGUUGUUACUUUGACAUACCUCGAUUCUCAAGUAGUAUGAUAGAAAUCCCAGGUCACUCAUUUCAAACCUUGCAUUCAUCUCCUUUUUAAAAUUUGCCACAUCAUCAGGAGAGUUACCAGUAACCAGCAAGUCGUCAACAUAUACCCCGAUGUUUAGCGUGUUUCCCUCUCUUCUCCUUGUAUAAACGGAAUACUCUUGUGGACAUUGAUUGAAGCCUAUUUCUUUCAGAUACUUGUGGAGACAAGCAUUCCAGGCCCUGGGAGCCUGUUUUAGCCCAUAUAAAGCUUUGGAAAGUUUGUAAACCUUUUGAGUUUUCCCUUUCUUCUCGAAGCCUUCAGGCUGCGACACGUAGACUUCUUCCUCCAACUUUCCGUUCAAAAAUGCUCAUUUUACAUCGAGGUGAUGGACAUUCCACCCAUUUGUCCCUGCAAGAGAUAGGAUUACUCUAACUGUCUCGAUUCUCGCUACUGGUGCGAAUACCUCCUCAUAUUCUACUCCAUGUUUUUGUACAUAACCCUUUGCCACUAACCUUGCUUUGUGCUUAACAAUUUUUCCACUGGGAUCACGUUUUACCUUGAAGACCCACUUCAGUCCAAUUGGCCGUCUUCCUUGUAGAAGAUCGACUAGCCUCCAGGUCCUGUUCUUCUCAAUCGACAUCAAUUCUACUUUCAUCGCCUCAAUCCAUUCAACCUUGUUCUUCGCCUCUUGGUACGAGCCUGUUUCUUCAUCGUUGCGAAUUAAGAGUAAUUCUUCCAGCGGGACUUGAAUUUCUUUUGUGUUCUCGUACAGAUCAUCAAGUAGGCGAAAUCACUUUGGCGCUCCACCGCCAGUGGAUUCUGAAUUGGAGGAUCCAAUUGAGUGGUUUUGGGAAUUUGGGGUGCUGGGUAAGUUUGGAAAAUCGGGUGAACUUGGUGUACCCGGAUCAUUCGUUGGAUUGGAUUGUGGGCUAGAUUGCGAGCCCACCUGAGAGUUAAUGGGUUGUGACCCACUACCAUUCCAAUCAUCUCCCAUUUGUGGUGGCCCAUGACUCGCUUGGGGUUUGUUGGGAUCCGAUUCGUACCCAUCGUCUUCAACAUCAUCACCGACGACGUCUAGAUCAAAGCCUUUCACUGUGAAUUCCAUAUCCGACAUCUUCUUGAUCUGCACCGAUUUAUCCCAUUCCCAACUUUUAAUCUCUUCAAACACGACGUCUCUACUCACAUACAUCUUCCUGGUGUCAGGAUCAGCUAGGCGAUAGGCUUUUGUACCCUUUUCAAAUACCCAGAUGAACUAAUUUCUUGCUUCGUUCAUCUAGCUUUUUCAGGUUAUUCUUGUGAAUCAUCAUGUGAGCUAAAUACCCAAACACCUUGAGAUGCCCUACAUGUGGUUUUCGACCGGUCCACAUCUCGUAAGGGGUCGAUUCUUUUAACACUCUCAUCGUGACUUUAUUUAGAACAUAGACAGCAUGAUUUACUGCUUCACCCCAAAGAACAUCUGGGACAUUCAUAGACUUCAAAUUACAUCUAACCAUCUCCAAAAUUGUGCGAUUUCUACGUUCGACCACACCGUUCUGUUGUGGUGAGUAAGGGGAAGUGUAAUUUCGAUCAAGCCCAAUUUCUUCACAGAACUUUGUAAACUCGUGUGAGAGAAAUUCUCCUCCCCGAUCUGUUCUUAAAGUCUUUAUCUUUUCUCCAGUUUCAUUCUCCACCUUUGCUUUGAAGUUCUUGAAUGUCUGAAAGGCUUCAUCUUUUGUCUUCAGUAGGUACACCCAUUGCACUCUGCUAUAAUUAUCGACAAGGAGCAUGAAGUAUCGAUUUCCUGAGGGUGUGGGUGGUGAGACUGGGCCGCACAAGUCUCCGUGGACGAGUUCUAACCUUCUUUUUGCUCUGUAGCUCGUCUGAGUGGGAUAAGAGUUUCUUGUUUGUUUUCCAAUCAAACACCCUUCACAAGGCCGGGACGGGACAUUAGUAUGAGAUAAGCCUUCCACUAUCUUCUUCGCUGACAUCAAUUUUAAGGUUGCAAAAUUGAUGUGCCCUAGACGUGUGUGCCAGAGCCAUGUUGGUUCAGUAAUAUCAGCAACCAGACAUGAAUUACUGACAUGUUCCAACUCAAUCUUGUACAAUCGAUUAGGGGAUCUGUGCACCUUCAUCAGCAAUUUUUCGGCUUUGUCACGAACCCACAAGUACGGUUCCUUUAUCUUGAUUUCUGCACCGAUCUCUGACAGCUGCCCAAGGCUAAUUAUAUUGUUACACAGGUCUGGUAUAAAGUAUACUUCUUGGAGUUUUCUGUGCUCUCCAUUCUUGCACUGAAAGACUACCGUCCCCUUUCCUUCGAUUCUUACCCUGGUCUCAUUCCCGAACUUAACGAACCCUUGUAUCUUCUUGUUCAAGGUUUUGAAUUUGCUUUCAUCCCCAGUCAUAUGGUUGCUUGCUCCGCAGUCCAGGUACCAGAUGUUUGACUGAUGCUUUGCUUUGCUUCUAGAUAUUAGAUUUGGAGUCACGUUUUAUUCAUUUAGGUACACUUCGCCAUUUUCUUCUCCAUUUUCUAUUGAUGACAAUAACAGGGCUGGUUCAUUGUCUUCUUGAAUCAAAUUGGCUUCUUGAUUCCUUUCUUUCUUUGGAUUUUGACAUUCUGAAGCAUAAUGACCAAAAUCUUGACAAUUAUAACACUGUACCUUACUUUUGUCAUAAUUGUUUGAUCCAGAAGCACUUGAAUUUUUCUGGUUACUAUGAUUUCCUCUACCGCGUCCACCACGGCCUCCACCAUGUCGGCCUCUUCCCUUGCUUCUGCCUCGUGAACUACUAGGUCCACCAUGACCUUGUUUGUUCUUUGAAUCCCCCCCCCCCCUUUCUUCUUUCUUGCUGACCAUUCUUGAUGCGUUAACAGGAGCUUGCAGUCAUCUUGAUCAUCUCGUCCCUUUAAUGUCUCUUCAUGUGCCUUGAGUCUCCCUAUUACCUCUUCAACAGUCAUUAUCUCUAGGUCACUGAAUUGUUCCAACGUGGACGCAAGUUGGAUGAAUUUUGAAGAGACUGCCCUGAGCAGUUUCUUCACCACGUAUGAUUCUUCAACUUUUUCACCUAGGAAGCGUAUUGAGCUGACCGUACUUGUAAUCUUCGCAGUAAAUUCAUCAAUACUGUCUGAUUCCUUCAUGCAUAUAGCUUCAAAGUCAGCCUUUAGGGUUUGUAUUCGGGCCGAUUUUACUCUAUCUGCCCAUACGAACAUCAUUUUGAGAGCUCCCCAAGCUUCUUUCGCUGUCUUCUUUUCAGCUAGCACCAUCAACAGAUCCUCAGGAAUGCCCUAAUAGAUGGCGGCUAGGGCCAUGUUGUCCUUUUUUGCAUCAACAAGAGUGUUUUCAGUUCUGGGCUCCACUGCGUCCCACACAUCCCGUGCCAACAUGAAAACCCUCAUCUUGAUCGCCCAAGCACCAUAAUUCGACCUGUUUAACAUGGGAUAAUGAAGUGUUACUUUUCCAUCUUUGUCACCAUUGCCAUUGUUGCUACCGCUGCCGAUAGUCAUCUUCUCACGUGGUUGAUAUUUUGGCAUACACCAGGAAUUGCUCUGAUACCAAAUGUUGUUUAAAAUGGCUGAUUUACUUCCCGUGAUGGUGAGAUUGACAGAAAAGAAAGAGAGACAAUGGGGCAAAUGCUUAUAUGUUUAUUAAGAGGGGAAAAGAAACUUCAAGUAUGCUUUUAAAACGUCACAUUUGCCUAUCUAUUUAAAAGAAAAAAUAGCAUAAAAAUAGGAACUAACAUCUAGUGGCCAACGACCAGGAACCACCUUCCAUACACCUUUGAUUUAUUCUUCUAGAAAAUAAAAAACGUGCUGAAGUAAAUAAAUAAACUCUGAAUUAUUUUCAACAAUGUUCACUUCCAAUUUUUUCCCCCUGCAUCUGAUUCCCUAUAGACAAGCUUCCAACUUCAGCUUGUUUCUUACUCCAGAGAAUCUAAUAAACUAAAACCAUCUUCUCUUAGAGUCUUUUUUCUUUGCAAAGUAAAUAUCACUAAUCGUCCCAUGUUUUGCGAAGAGCCUUCUUAGUUCGUCCUUCCUUAUAUCCUCCGAGAGGUUUGUCACAAACAUCCUUGUGAUUGAAAUUCCUCCGACCACCUUCUUCCCUCUCCGAUUUACCUUUAACCAUCAGUCUUCCAUGGUUUUUUUCUACGUAUGUAUGUUACGAAUACAAUUGCUCGCUACCAACGCCAACCACUUUUAUGAAUAAUUGAUUUAAAAAUUACUUAUUUGAAUAUAUUUAUUCAUGAAAUUAAUUAUAAUUCUUGAUUUUCUAUUAUUUUUAUGUAUCGCAAUAAAUAACUUCAAAAUUACUUAUAAAACUAUAUUUAAUUUUAAUCAUUAUUUUUUUUUAAAUAUGAGUAUUUUUUUUUAAUAUGACGUUAUAUUAUUUAUAUUUUUAUGUUGCUAUUAUCUAUUAUUAUUAGUUGGUUUUAAAUCACUUAUAGUUAUUAAAAUGCGAUAAGAGAUUUUUAAAAAAUACUUGUUAUUGUUAAAAAAAUAAUUACAGACACCAAAUAGUUAAUACUAAAAUUAGAAGAGUAAAUAACUUAUUGUAUUAAUUUAAAAAGAAUUCGAAAAAUUUGAGGGUUUUAAAUGAAUUUGUUUAGAGUAAUUUUUUUUUUUUUAUAAUAUACUAAGUGUAUGCCAUGAGUUGUGUAAGAUUAAAAUAAUAUGCUAAUUUCUUUUGUAGAUUAUAUAUGACCUUAUGACUUUUAAAUAUAAUUUUAAUAUAAACUAGAGAAUGACCGCCAUCUUGGGGAGUCAGAGGGUAUUUCAUUGUAAAGCUUGAUGGUGACUAAGAUUUGUGUCGAACAGUUUGGAAUAUAUAUGAUGCAAUAAAUUUUUGAGGAUUAAUAUCCCAAUGACACACUCCAAUACUACCAUCAACAGUCAACUAUCUUUCGAUAUCACUUCCAUAUAGAAAGGUAAAAUGGUCAAUCUUAUAGUCAGAUUGCUCAUUAGUCAAAAAAGAAAAUUCAUUUAUAUAAUACUUAUUCCAGACAUACAUUAUCCAUCUGUUCAUUACUUUAUCCAUAAAGAGUUAGUGAAGAAAAAGAAAAAACAAACAACCUCUACGAAACAUUUGCUUAAAGUGGUGUCUGGUGAACAGGAGUCCUUCGACUUCCCUGAAAUUAUAAUUUUUACAAUAUUCAGUCACAAGUUGUUGUAUAACAAGUAACAACUAAUAUAAUGCACACAUGAAAAAAGAUAUAUACCUUACAAACUGUCACACCCCCGAACUAGACGGCAGAAACGUCCAAAGGCUCACGUGACUAAAUUUUAAUAUCAUCACAAUAAAUAUACAUGAAUCAUAAGAUAAGCAUCAUCAUGCAUCAAUAUAUUACAACUGACUUUGUUCACAUCAAGUACAUUGUAUUAUCAUUACAAAUCCAGAAUAUAAAUUGUUUGAUAGUUUUCAAAAGCACAACACUCUAACAUAACUUGGUACUACUCCUCAGCUUACCUGUUACUUGAGAUACAAGUUAUUUUGAAAACGGUCAACGUAUGGAAUGUUGGUGAGUUUAUAAGCAGGUUUGAUAUGAAAAUGUUUUGUGUAAUUUGUAAGAAAACAACCAAGAAAAUUCGAUAUUUUCUGAAAAGACCAUUGUUUGUAUAAAAGUGUGAAGAUCCGUAAAUAUAUGCAUGAUGAUUUCAAAACGUGUAUAGUUGAAAAACUUCGUAUUAGAAGUACUAGUGAAAAAUGUUGAACUCCCCCGGAAAACCCGAUGUUUUCUGAAAAAAAAAACAAAAUAUCGUAUAACUGUUCCUAUUGUUAUCCCAUCCUUGAAUGAUUUUGAUUUAUCUUGAUUACUUGAUUACUAUUGGAUUUAUUUAUGUGAGUCGUUAUAACCAUGCAUGAUAAUGACUAGUUCGUCUGUCUUGACAUUCUGGUGAACACCGGAAUUGAUCUUAAGAUUUUGUCACCCUAGACUGGCCGAGUCUAACUGUAGCGAACAACUGAGGUGUGUGGGGGAGUCACCCCCGUAUAGAUCUAUACACAAACUCUCGCUCUCCCUCCAGGAGACUUUGAUUAUAACUACAGACUAUGACCGAAACACGUUGGUACCACCCGUUAUUACUCACUAAAUCCCAAUUGACUUUGAUUGCUAUUGAUUAUUGACCUGCAUUUGUUUACAUGGAUUGACGAUCGACCUAAUAAACAAGGAGAAGAGGAUUACGAGAUCCUACUAAUCCCGCGUAUUAUUUAUGGCUAUUGGUUAUACGAAGGACACGCUAACCCAUUUCGCAUUUGAUUUGCUUGGACCUUACUAGCAAUGCUAAUGGGCCAUUAAGGCCCAAUAGCACUUAAAAGCUAUUGAGGGUCCCUUAAAUAUGGAAUUGAGUCAUAGAAGGCCCAAUAACAUUUAUUAUUAUCCCUUGGGCCCAAAAAUCAUGUUCAUGGGCAACAAAGGCCCAACAAGCAUGAUUGGAUCUUUUAAGCCCAAAGAUUUUGAUGUUUACUUGUUUUAGGUAUAGUUUAGUUGUCGGAAUAUUUAAUUGAACCAUCGUUAAAUUUGUAUCGGUAUGAGACCGGUCGGUCGUCUAUAACGAUAUUUGAAAAUUUAUGUAUUUUCAUCUUUUCAUUUUUCAUAAGUUGUGGUUUGGAAAAUUUGACCCAAAUAUCUUAAUAAUAAAAUAAUUGACUCAAAAUAUUGGUUUGACCCUUUUCGGCCAUUCUUUAAUAAAAAUGACAAUUUUAGUCCCUUAAAGAUUAAUAAAAGACAUUUUUGACCCAUAGACUUUGUUUAAGUGAUGAUUUUAGCUCAAGAUUUAUUUUUAUCAGUCUCAGCCCUUCCAGAAAAGUGUUUUUCGGUUUAAGCCCAAACUUUUGUAACUUUUACAAUUUUGGUCCAAAAUCCAAAAAAUUACAUUUUUUUAUCCUUGUUUGGAAAAUACAUCAUUUUGACCCCCUGAAUUAGGUUCAUUUACCCUUUUUACCCAUUGUUUGAGAAGUUUAUCAUUUCACCCCCUUAAAAAUUGGGAUUUUCGCAAAUUAGGGCUUAAUGGGCCGAAAAGCCCAAAUUUUGGCCCAUUAAACUACAAUUUACACUUCUAGCCCUUAAAAGAGUAUUAUAUCCAUAAAAACAUUUAUUUUUACUGAUUUGACUCUUUUAGCCCUUAAGAAAAUCGUGAAUGGCAAUUUGUCAACCCAACUUUUGUUUGUUUGACAAUUUUAGCCCAAAAAUGGGUUUUAUGUUGCAAUAUGUAUAUUUUAAUCUUAGAGGGUAAUUUUUCUUGACUUAUUUUAGUGUAAUACUUCUUAGGUCAUGUUUAUCUUCCUCUUAGAUCCAUAUAUCUCGCAUUUCUAUUCUUUUUGUUACACAUUUACCACAUAAACACAUGAAAUCACACAUAACAUACACAUACACAUAGAUCUACACAUUUUACUUGUAUUCUCCCCCAUAAAACACAUGAAAACCGAAAAAUAGAGGGGUACGAACUCACCUUGAGUUUGUGGGUUCGGUUUUUAAGAAGAAUUUAAUAAGUUUGAUGCUAUUCUUGGCCUAGCAAGCUUCUUGGAGGAUCUUUGGCUUAGAUGUGUUCUAAGAUGCAAGAUCACGAAUUUUGUAUGAGUUAAGGAGAGAUUUUUGAUAACACAAUGAGUCUAGACUAUGAUCCAAGCAUCAACUUACCUAAGAUGAUGACUCUUAUGGAAAAUCCUUCUUGAAAGCUCUUAAAUCUUGAAAUUUUUGAUGAAGAAGCAAGAGUAUUCUUUGAGAGUCUUUGAGUGAAUUGUGUGUGUGUAUCCUUCCCUUUGUGUUCUCGGACGAAGAAGAAAAAGAGAGGAGAUGAGAAAGAGAGAGUGAAGUGAUGGAUUGCUUGGAAGUAUGAGAAGAGUGCAUGGAUACCCCAUGUACAAUUGUGAGGUGGCAUG